rnacentral:tRNA from 1 species
GGGCCGGUAGCUCAGCAUGGCUGGAGCGUUCGGCUGAUAACCGAAAGGUCGCCGGUUCAAAUCCGGCUCGGCCCACCA